UUAAAAAGUGCCUCAUUUAGAAGCUUCGCUCGACUAUUUUCUUGUUUGAUAUUUUGACAUCCUCGUUUAACAGAUGAUGUUAUUAUUAUAUUCGUGUUUUGUGAGGUUGUGAAGAGGUUUUCUUGGUUUCUAACUGUGGAAUGUGAAGAAUUCCUGGAGAAUAAAGGAGGUUUUGUUCAGUUCAGGCAGGCUUGGUCUGAAGACACCUGUUGACCUGAAGCCAUGAUGACAGGAUGUCCCCUAACCCCAGAGGUUAGCCGCUACAAUCAGAGACAUGUGGACGUUACCCACAAUCCUUAGAGGCUAACGGGACCAUCAGGGCUCUGUCAGGUCUAGAAAGAACCAUAGUACCACUAAUCAGGUUUAGAAGGAGUCAUAGUAGCACUAAUCAUGAGGUCUAGAAGGAGUCAUAGUGCCACUAAUCAGGUCUAGAAGGAGUCAUAGUUCCACUAAUCAGGAGGUCUGGAAGGAGUCAUAGUGCCACUAAUCAGGUCUAGAAGGAGUCAUAGUUCCACUAAUCAGGAGGUCUAGAAGGAGUCAUAGUUCCACUAAUCAGGAGGUCUAGAAGGAGUCAUAGUACCACUAAUCAGGAGGUCUAGAAGGAGUCAUAGUUCCACUAAUCAGGAGGUCUAGAAGGAGUCAUAGUACCACUAAUCAGGAGGUCUAGAAGGAGUCAUAGUGCCACUAAUCAGGAGGUCUAGAAGGAGUCAUAGUACCACUAAUCAGGUUUAGAAGGAGUCAAAUACCACUAAUCAGGAGGUGUAGAAGGAGUCAUAGUACCAUUACUCAGAAUGGUGAGAACCUGACCAGGACUACCACAGUGAAUGCAUAGUCCUGACAGCGAAGCAUGGAGGUGGAAGUGUAAUGAUAUUGAUACUGUAAGACAUAAAUAGAUGAACCAUGAAUGCCAGAGGACAUAUCAAAACCCAAAAUGACCACAAAGAGACACAAAAAGAGCUCAAAGUUGAAAAACAAACUUAGACACACAAAAUGACCACAGAGACACAAAAAGAGACAAAAUUACAAUAAAAAGACACAAAACAACCACAAAGAGACACAAAACAACCACAAAGAGACACAAUUACUCCAAAAUGAUGAAAACAAUGGAGCUGUUGUGUUGGAUGCAUAAUCCCGACAGUGAAGUGUGAUGGUAGAACAGCAAUAUUAGAAUAUAGAAAAUGUGAAUAAAAUGCCAGUGAAGUAUACUAAAGUUAAAAUGUUUCUUUAUCUCAUUUUGUAUCAGAAUAUUUAGCUUUUUUUAGUCAAAACAAACCCAAUAAAAGUUGACAUUUAUUAGCACUGAUGCUAACGGUGAAACCCUCCGUGUUUUUGUGCGCUAGCUUAGUCAUGCUACAUGUUAGCGGUCACAUUUGGAAGCCAUCAGAUCAGACUGAGGGCAGCUCCUGUUUACAAUUACCCCAGUGAGGGGUAGGAGGGGGAGGAGGGGUAAUAGCUCCAUCAAAGGGCCCCAGAAUUCCCGGGAUUCCUGGGUUUCCUGUGAAGCCGCUCGGUAAUCGCCGGAGCAGCCGAUCGUGACGAAGUUUAAUCAGUCGAGUCGCUGCUCUAAUUGGCAGCGUCUCGUUUGGGAUAAUCAAUGAACAGGAGGAAGCCUGAGGCCGGACCGGGACGCUCCAGGAUCAAACACCAAAAACACCUUUUCUGUCCGCAGAUUCUCCUCCUCAGAUUAAAGUCCUCAUCUCCGAGCUGCUCGAGGCGCCCAAGAACCGGCCAGCAAGUUCAUUAAAACCCAAGUUCACAGGUGAAAACUGAAAACGAAGGAAAUGUUUCAGCUUUUUAUCCACCACAGGAGCAAAGUUUAUUAUCUGGACAGGAGAUUCCAGCUCAUCCAGCCUGGAAAUCCUCGUUUAACUGGAAUUAUUAUCAAACGACUGACAACGAGCGGAGCAGCAGAGG